GAUGAACGCUGGCGGCGUGCCUUACACAUGCAAGUCGAACGGCAGCACGGGUGCUUGCACCUGGUGGCGAGUGGCGAACGGGUGAGUAAUAUAUCGGAACGUACCUUAUUGUGGGGGAUAACGCAGCGAAAGCUGUGCUAAUACCGCAUAAUCCCUAAGGGGGAAAGCGGGGGACCGUAAGGCCUCGCGCAAUUAGAGCGGCCGAUACCUGGUUAGCUUGUUGGUGGGGUAAAAGCCCACCAAGGCGACGAUCAGUAGCCGGUCUGAGAGGGCGAUCAGCCACACUGGGACUGAGACACGGCCCAGACUCCUACGGGAGGCAGCAGUGGGGAAUUUUGGACAAUGGGGGCAACCCUGAUCCAGCAAUGCCGCGUGAGUGAAGAAGGCCUUCGGGUUGUAAAGCUCUUUUGUCAGGGAAGAAACACCGGCUCUAACACAGUCCGGGAAUGACGGUACCUGAAGAAUAAGCACCGGCUGACUACGUGCCAGCCGCCGCCGUAA
rnacentral:rRNA from 1 species